AUUGAACGCUGGCGGCAGGCCUAACACAUGCAAGUCGAGCGCGCGGCGGACGGGUGAGUAAUUUCUUGGCCACUGCCUGAUGUAGGGGGAUCACUACUGUAACCGGUAGCUAAUACCGCAUACCAUCAGCUCUGCCCUGAUGGGAUUAGCUAGUAGGUGGGGGAACGGCUCACCUAGGCGACGAUCCCUAGCUGGUCUGAGAGGAUGACCAGCCACACUGGAACUGAGAAACGGUCCAGACUCCUACGGGAGGCAGCAGUGGGGAAUCUUGGACAAUGGGCGCAAGCCUGAUGCAGCCAUGCCGCGUGUGUGAAGAAGGCCUUCGGAUUGUAAAGCACUGUCAGCGGGGAGGCGUUACUCGCAGAAGAAGCAACGGCUAACUCCGUGCCAGCAGCCGCGGUAAUAC
rnacentral:rRNA from 1 species